rnacentral:miRNA from 1 species
UUUUAAGUAUUAGUAUGUCCCAACUGUUACAUGGGAUAUACUUACACUAAAA